rnacentral:rRNA from 1 species
GAUGAACGCUGGCGGCGUGCCUAAUACAUGCAAGUCGAGCGAACGGACGAGAAGCUUGCUUCUCUGAUGUUAGCGGCGGGCGGGUGAGUAACACGUGGAUAACCUACCUAUAAGACUGGGAUAACUUCGGGAAACCGGAGCUAAUACCGGAUAAUAUUUUGAACCGCAUGGUUCAAAAGUGAAAGACGGUCUUGCUGUCACUUAUAGAUGGAUCCGCGCUGCAUUAGCUAGUUGGUAUGGUAACGGCUUACCAAGGCAACGAUGCAUAGCCGACCUGAGAGGGUGAUCGGCCACACUGGAACUGAGACACGGUCCAGACUCCUACGGGAGGCAGCAGUAGGGAAUCUUCCGCAAUGGGCGAAAGCCUGACGGAGCAACGCCGCGUGAGUGAUGAAGGUCUUCGGAUCGUAAAACUCUGUUAUUAGGGAAGAACAUAUGUGUAAGUAACUGUGCACAUCUUGACGGUACCUAAUCAGAAAGCCACGGCUAACUACGUGCCAGCAGCCGCGGUAAUACGUAGGUGGCAAGCGUUAUCCGGAAUUAUUGGGCGUAAAGCGCGCGUAGGCGGUUUUUUAAGUCUGAUGUGAAAGCCCACGGCUCAACCGUGGAGGGUCAUUGGAAACUGGAAAACUUGAGUGCAGAAGAGGAAAGUGGAAUUCCAUGUGUAGCGGUGAAAUGCGCAGAGAUAUGGAGGAACACCAGUGGCGAAGGCGACUUUCUGGUCUGUAACUGACGCUGAUGUGCGAAAGCGUGGGGAUCAAACAGGAUUAGAUACCCUGGUAGUCCACGCCGUAAACGAUGAGUGCUAAGUGUUAGGGGGUUUCCGCCCCUUAGUGCUGCAGCUAACGCAUUAAGCACUCCGCCUGGGGAGUACGACCGCAAGGUUGAAACUCAAAGGAAUUGACGGGGACCCGCACAAGCGGUGGAGCAUGUGGUUUAAUUCGAAGCAACGCGAAGAACCUUACCAAAUCUUGACAUCCUUUGACAACUCUAGAGAUAGAGCCUUCCCCUUCGGGGGACAAAGUGACAGGUGGUGCAUGGUUGUCGUCAGCUCGUGUCGUGAGAUGUUGGGUUAAGUCCCGCAACGAGCGCAACCCUUAAGCUUAGUUGCCAUCAUUAAGUUGGGCACUCUAAGUUGACUGCCGGUGACAAACCGGAGGAAGGUGGGGAUGACGUCAAAUCAUCAUGCCCCUUAUGAUUUGGGCUACACACGUGCUACAAUGGACAAUACAAAGGGCAGCGAAACCGCGAGGUCAAGCAAAUCCCAUAAAGUUGUUCUCAGUUCGGAUUGUAGUCUGCAACUCGACUACAUGAAGCUGGAAUCGCUAGUAAUCGUAGAUCAGCAUGCUACGGUGAAUACGUUCCCGGGUCU